UACGGAGGGUGCAAGCGUUGUUCGGAAUUACUGAGCGUAAAGAGUGCGUAGGCGGUUUGGCAAGUUGGAAGUGAAAUCCCGGGGCUCAACCUCGGAAUUGCUUUCAAAACUGCUAAUCUAGAGUAUGGUAGGGGAUAGUGGAAUUCUUAGUGUAGGGGUGAAAUCCGUAGAUAUUAAGAGGAACACCAGAGGCGAAGGCGACUAUCUGGGCCAUUACUGACGCUAAGGUACGAAAGCGUGGGGAGCAAACAGG
rnacentral:rRNA from 1 species